AGGAUGAACACAAAGCUAUGUGCAACAAAUUUGUACAAGAAGAAAAUGAAAAUGUUGCUCGGAUAAAGAUAGUGACACAACCAGCUCUUGGAAAAAUUAAUGUGAUGAAAUUGAUUAAGAAAUUCAACAUUCAAUCUGAUGAGUUUAUUUCAAAGAAAGCAUCACGACCUUGAUUGUACUAAUGACUUAAACUCUGUUUCAAGUAGCACAAAGAUAUCUGCCUGCAUAUGAUAUGAUACAUUAUUAAAUUCUAUACAUACAAUAGACAACAAUUCUUGCC
rnacentral:lncRNA from 1 species